rnacentral:rRNA from 1 species
AACGAACGCUGGCGGCAUGCCUAACACAUGCAAGUCGAACGAAGCCUUCGGGCUUAUUGGCGCACGGGUGCGGAACGAGUGGGAAGUUGCCCCUUGCUUCGGAACAACAGUUAGAAAUGACUGCUCAUACCGGAUGAAGUCUUCGGACCUAAGAGUUACCGGGAAGGGAUGAGGGCGCGUAUGAUUAGGCGGUUGGUGGGGUAAAGGCCUAUCAAGGCGAGGAUCCUUAGCUGGUCGGAGAGGAAGAUCAGCCACACUGGAACUAAGACACGGGCCCGACUCGUACGCAAGGGUGGAGAGGGGUAUACAGGACGAGGGAGGCUAGUCUGAUCCAGCAAUGCCGGGUAAGUGAUGAAGGCCGUAGGGAAGUGAAGCUCUUUUACAAGGGAUGUUAGUGACGGUACCUGGAGAAUAAGCACCGGCUAACUCCGUG